UUCCUAUGACAUCAGACAUACGCACGCACGCUUUGGGGUCCUUCAGCUGAAUGGUUGAAGCGCCUAAUUUCUGUAUUAUAUUAUUUGAAAUGUCAGUAUUUGUAUCGCUCGUGGAUUAAGUUAUAUUUAUUGAUUCACCUUAUUGAUUUGAUUAAAGUGGGUGGUAAUGGAGGAGGUAGAUGUGGAGCCAACAACUACUCCUAUCCCUGGGUUCGACAGCAACCAAAAACACUUGGGAUUUGUGUGGGGUCCUGGAGAUAUCCUGGUUUAUGAGACCAUUUACAAAGCAUCAGGUGGAUCUGCAGGGGGUUGUCCCUUUGUCCACGAGGUCAGGAAAGAUGAGGACAUCUAUUCCCGAUUUUGCGUAAACUCUUCAAUGAGUCCCAUCACAUCUUUGUUGGUCUGCAGAGGAUCAGAGAGGAUCUGCCCAGCAAGAACAAGAAACCCCAGUUUGUCAGUAUUAGCAAGAACUACAGGUCUGUGAUUCGAGCAUGCAUGGAGGAACUCCAGCAAGUCGCAGUUUCUACACAAGAUGCAGCAUUGGCUACACAGUAUGGAAAUCAGGUGUCAAUCCUGCUGGCAGUAGAGCUGAUCUGGAAUCUUUGUGAAGUGUUGUUCAUCGAUGCAGCUCCAGCUGGCUCCCUGGUGCUCCACCUGCUCGACUGGGUGAGGCUGCACAAGGCUGACGUGGAUGAGAAGGCCAGGGAGGUGCUGGCGAGUGAGAGCCCCGCAGAGCACCAGGCCUACUGGGACGUGGUGAUCAGCUACGUGCUGCAGGGCCGGAUGGACGAGGCCAGGCAGGUUCUGGUGAAACAGGCAGCUUUGCAGCCUGCAGCCAGGGUCAUGUUCAAGCUGCUGGACAACUUGCUCAUGAAGAUGCCCAUCUUCAAUCCUGGUGAGACUCAGACCCUGACAGAGUUUGAUGUAAAGUGGAGACACUGGCGCGAGGAGGUGGACCACUGUCUCCAGGACCAGUCCUUUGCCAGCAACCGCCACCUGGAGGACAUCUGUAAGAUCCUGGUUGGUGAUGAGGAUGUUCUCCUGGAGUACAAGGAGCUGCUGAGUACCUGGUAUCACUUCCUGGUCACCAGACUGCUGUUCUCCCACCCCACUGUCAAGCCCACAGAGCUGCACUACUACGCACAGUCUAGCAUGCACAUGUUCCUGGACACGAGGAGUGUCCCAGAGCCCCUGGACAGCAUCCUGCUGGCAGCCUUUGAGUUUGACAUCCACCAGGUCAUCAAAGACUGCAGCAUUGCUCUCAACAACUGGUGGUUUGUGGGGCAUCUGACUGACCUACUGGACCACUGUAAACUGCUCCAGUCUCACAACCUACAUUUUGGCUCCAACCUGAGAGAGUUUCUACUGCUGGAGUACGCCUCAGGACUCUUCACCCAUCACAGCCUGUGGCAGCUGGCUGUGGACUACUUUGACCACUGUCCAGAGUUUGGCCGUGUGUACCUGGAGCUACAGAUAGAGCGUGUUCCUCUGGACACGGAGCGCAAGGCCCUGAAGGUGAUCAGGAUCUGUGAGCAGAGGCAGAUGACUGAACAAGUGAGGAGCAUCUGUAAGAUCAUGGCCAAGAAGGCCCUGAGGAACAACAGACUGGGCUCUGCUCUCUCCUGGAGCAUCAGAGCCAAAGAUGCUGCCUUCGCCACCCUCAUAUCAGAGAGGUUUCUCCAGGACUACUGUGCCAAAGGGACCUUCUCUGAUCUGGACCUGAUUGACAACCUGGGUCCAGCCAUGCUGCUCAGUGACAGGCUUACUUUUCUAGGGAAGUACCGUGAGUUCCAUCGGCUGUACGGCGAGAAGCGUUUCUCGGAUGCCGCCAAGCUCCUCCUCUCCCUGAUGACGGCCAAGAUCGCCCCACAUUCCUUCUGGAUGACUCUGCUGACCGACGCCCUGCCCCUGCUGGAGCAGAAAGAGGUGAUCUUCUCUGCUGAUCAAACUCAUGAGCUGAUGUUCUGUCUGGAGGAGCUGACCUCAGGAAGAGUGUUCCCACCCCAGACAGACCCAUGCAGGAUGAGGACAUCGAGACGACAAAGAUUGAGCUCCUGCGGCUAGCGCUAGCUCGUAACCUGGCCAUGGCCAUAGUUAAGGAGGGGACAGUGGAAGUUUGACCAACACUUAAAGAAGAGCACUUGUCUUUUUAUACUGUACAUAAAACAAAUCAAGUCUGAUCAAAAUGUGCUAUUUGAUAAUAAAGAAAUGUUUUGACAUGAA